AUUGAACGCUGGCGGCAUGCCUUACACAUGCAAGUCGAACGGCAGCACGGGUGCUUGCACCUGGUGGCGAGUGGCGAACGGGUGAGUAAUACAUCGGAACAUGUCCUGUAGUGGGGGAUAGCCCGGCGAAAGCCGGAUUAAUACCGCAUACGAUCUACGGAUGAAAGCGUGGGACCUUCGGGCCUCGCGCUAUAGGGUUGGCCGAUAGCUGAUUAGCUAGUUGGUGGGGUAAAGGCCUACCAAGGCGACGAUCAGUAGCUGGUCUGAGAGGACGACCAGCCACACUGGGACUGAGACACGGCCCAGACUCCUACGGGAGGCAGCAGUGGGGAAUUUUGGACAAUGGGCGAAAGCCUGAUCCAGCAAUGCCGCGUGUGUGAAGAAGGCCUUCGGGUUGUAAAGCACUUUUGUCCGGAAAGAAAUCCUUGGCUCUAAUACAGUCGGGGGAUGACGGUACCGGAAGAAUAAGCACCGGCUAACUACGUG
rnacentral:rRNA from 1 species